AGAGUUUGAUCCUGGCUCAGGAUGAACGCUGACAGAAUGCUUAACACAUGCAAGUCUACUUGAUCCUUCGGGUGAUGGUGGCGGACGGGUGAGUAACGCGUAAAGAACUUGCCCUGCAGUCUGGGACAACAUUUGGAAACGAAUGCUAAUACCGGAUAUUAUGUGAGUUUCGCAUGAAAUUCAUAUGAAAGCUAUAUGCGCUGCAGGAGAGCUUUGCGUCCUAUUAGCUAGUUGGUGAGGUAACGGCUCACCAAGGCGAUGAUAGGUAGCCGGCCUGAGAGGGUGAACGGCCACAAGGGGACUGAGACACGGCCCUUACUCCUACGGGAGGCAGCAGUGGGGAAUAUUGGACAAUGGACCAAAAGUCUGAUCCAGCAAUUCUGUGUGCACGAUGAAGUUUUUCGGAAUGUAAAGUGCUUUCAGUUGGGACGAAGUAAGUGACGGUACCAACAGAAGAAGCGACGGCUAAAUACGUGCCAGCAGCCGCGGUAAUACGUAUGUCGCAAGCGUUAUCCGGAUUUAUUGGGCGUAAAGCGCGUCUAGGCGGUUUGGUAAGUCUGAUGUGAAAAUGCGGGGCUCAACUCCGUAUUGCGUUGGAAACUGCCAAACUAGAGUACUGGAGAGGUGGGCGGAACUACAAGUGUAGAGGUGAAAUUCGUAGAUAUUUGUAGGAAUGCCGAUGGGGAAGCCAGCCCACUGGACAGAUACUGACGCUAAAGCGCGAAAGCGUGGGUAGCAAACAGGAUUAGAUACCCUGGUAGUCCACGCCGUAAACGAUGAUUACUAGGUGUUGGGGGUCGAACCUCAGCGCCCAAGCUAACGCGAUAAGUAAUCCGCCUGGGGAGUACGUACGCAAGUAUGAAACUCAAAGGAAUUGACGGGGACCCGCACAAGCGGUGGAGCAUGUGGUUUAAUUCGACGCAACGCGAGGAACCUUACCAGCGUUUGACAUCCUAAGAAAUUAGCAGAGAUGCUUUUGUGCCCCUUCGGGGGAACUUAGUGACAGGUGGUGCAUGGCUGUCGUCAGCUCGUGUCGUGAGAUGUUGGGUUAAGUCCCGCAACGAGCGCAACCC
rnacentral:rRNA from 2 species